rnacentral:rRNA from 1 species
UACGUAGGGGCUAGCGUUAUCCGGAAUUACUGGGCGUAAAGGGUGCGUAGGCGGUCUUUCAAGCCAGAAGUGAAAGGCUACGGCUCAACCGUAGUAAGCUUUUGGAACUGUAAGACUUGAGUGCAGGAGAGGAGAGUGGAAUUCCUAGUGUAGCGGUGAAAUGCGUAUAUAUUAGGAGGAACACCAGUAGCGAAGGCGGCUCUCUGGACUGUAACUGACGCUGAGGCACGAAAGCGUGGGGAGCAAACAGGAUUAGAUACCCGCGUAGUCCCUGA